rnacentral:rRNA from 1 species
AACGAACGUUAGCGGUGUGGAUUAGGCAUGCAAGUCGAGCGCGAAAGUCCCCUUCGGGGGGCGAGUAGAGCGGCGAAAGGGUGAGUAACACGUAAUCAACCUACCCCCCAGACCGGAAUAACCAGUGGAAACGCUGGCUAAUGCCGGAUGGCCCUGCAGCGUGGCAUCACGCAGCAGGUAAACGGUAGCUUUAGCUUCUGCUGAGGGAGGGGAUUGCGGCCUAUCAGCUUGUUGGUGGGGUAAUGGCCUACCAAGGCAAUGACGGGUAGCCGGUCUGAGAGGACGAUCGGCCACACUGGGACUGAGACACUGCCCAG